GUGGACCGAUUCCAGCAGGUUGUGGCUGUUACAAUUGCCAUAGCAACAGCAAUUGUCCGCCAUGCGGUGCGAUUGGUUGCCCAUAACGAGCUGUGAUGAUUUAUAGCAUUGACUGAGAAUGUAAUGAGGGAUAAGAAGAAUGGCGUUACUAUUUGCAUACAUCGAUAACAGAUACAAUUCAUGUUAUUUAUUAUAGUUUAUACAAUAAAGCAUUACAUAUACUA